GGUUUGUCUUGUUGUAAUGACGUAUAUUUGGCGCGCCUCGCCUGGCUCUAGAAGUGGAACUGUUGUUGCUAACGGUACCCGCUAACUAAUCACCGCUAAUUUAACGGUACCCCUCACUGAUGUCUCAACAGCCGCAGCAGACGGUCCCCUCCGCCCCAGACUCCCCUGCUCUGGUGGUCACCAGUAACGUGCAGAAAUAUGCCAUCAAGAAGAAGAAGGUCCUGAGUGCUGAAGAGACAGAGCUGUUCGAGCUGACCCAGGCUGCAGGCAUCACCGUGGACCAGGAGGUCUUCAAGAUCAUAGUGGACCUGCUGAAGAUGAACGUGGCUCCUCAGGCUGUGUUCCAGACUCUGAAGGCCAUGUGUGCAGGUCAGAGGGUAGCUGACAGCUGCGGCGGUGGCGGGGAGACUUCAACUGCCUCACACACCACUAGCAUCACCACAGCACCAACAGAGCCCAGAGAAGAGGACUCUUUGGUCUCUGGAAAGAGCCCUAAGCCUCCUGCAGCUCCCCCCUCAGCCUCUGGCCCCAGAGCCACAAGGGUCAACACUAAGAUUGUGGUCUACGGCCCCCAAGACGCUAGCUCUCCUCACUCUCAAGUGCGCAGUAAAGCUGGAGCGAGCCACAGUGAGAAGAGCAGGGAGGCCUCCAGCCAGCGAGUGCAGCGGCAGCCCAGCGCCACCAGAGGGCAGAAGACCAAGAGCUCCGGCAGCAGUAGUUCGUCCUCACAGAUAAACUCCACAUGAGCCGUCAGGUCAAUAUGACACCACCUGUAAAUAUGUAGCUGUCUUUAUAUUUAAGCCUUGCCUGUGUGUAUUCACCUGAUGGUGUGCGUGUGGCUGCAGCUGAAGGACGCAGUGCUUGUGCAGGACAGCAUCCCCCUGAGGAAUCCGUCAUAUGUCAGUGCUGUUAUGUCACGUCAUGUCACGGCCUUGACUCGCCGACACAAUACCAACCUGAGCAUUCUGCAUGUGUAAAGGCAGAUUAUGUGCAUUUUUUGCCACAUGCUUUUAUCGUGGUUCGUCUGUGUGUGUGUGUGUGUGUGUAGGGUUGCACCGUAUAGCGUCCUGUUCAUGUGUUGGCCGUGCACCCCGACAGUCUGCUGUGCUGCUUGCCCAUUGUGUUGGCUCCUCACACACUGGUUCUCUGGAAUAAUGCCAACAACUCCCCCCAUUGUACCCACUCUGAAAAGCCUGAAAGAGCUCUCUCUCAGACACACACACACACACACACACACACACACACACACGCACACGCACAUUCACCUGUCUGUCAAACCACAUGGCAAAAGCCAUACAAUUACCCUAUAACAUGAUGAAUAUUUACAUACACUGCUGAUCCUGUUAAGGUUAAUGCCAUUUUCACUCAGCUCCUUUUGUGCCUGGGUGAUUUGAACGUGUCCACGCCGUCGCACCUGAAUUUAGAAGUUUGCAAUUAAUUUGAGACCUGACAGUUUAUUAAUGAAGGCAGGGGCUUCCUGGUGUCUCAGUCGGCUGCUGGAGGAACAACGUGACUGCAGUGUUGUGGUUUUUGAACCGGGCCUGGGACUCCUGACGUCAGCCGUCCUCUCAUCUUCUACCAACUUUUCAUUUAAACGUUAAACAGGUGUUUUAAUUUGCCCACGUUCUGAGAUUCCUGCUGACGCACUGAUGACAGAAUGGUUUAGUUUAAAUGUUUCUGAAGCUUGGAAAAAACAUCAGAUGGUUUAUUUGUUUAGUCAUUUAUGUUGCUAUGGAUGCGGUGUCUUGUAAGCCCCUUUGGCCAGGCAUAUUAUUUAUACAUGAGACAAUAAUAAAUCAAUUAAUAAAUCAAACCUACUCCAACACAAUGGAGGUGACCAGAUUUUUUUUGCUCGUCAAAGGAAGAUUAAACAAACAAAAACAAAACAAAAACAUGCCUUUCUUGGAAACAAUGUCCGAAUGCUCCACAGAACUCUACUCAACUAAAAAAGUAGUUCCUGAUGGACCUGAUUUCACGACUCUACCGUACAAAUCAAUCAUGGGCGGCUCCCAGAGCUCCUCAGAAAUGAAGAGACUUGCAUGGUGCGAGGAUUUAAAUAGCGAAAUCUCAUUGGAAGACUGGCUUAAUGUGUUGAAAGCUCAAACACAAUCCAUAAACCACCACUUUAAAUUACUCCAGUAUAAGUGGACAGUGAGAAUGUUUGUAGCUCCAACCAUGUAAAAUAAAUGUAAUCAAAAUAGCCCAGGCAUUCUGGAUAGAGCUUUUGGAUAUUUGGUGUCAGGUUGUCUGUACGCCCCAAACUGUCCUUGAAUCUUAUCCCGUGAAUUGUGAACUAAGCAAGGCAGAUAAGAAAAUCACACUCGACUGCUUACAAGCAAAACACACUAUAGCCAGAUGCUGGAAAUCCACCAUGAGACCAAGUUUACAAACCUGGCUUCUUGGACUGUCUCACUCUGUUGUCCUAGAAAACCUUUACAAUUAAAUAUUCUACUUAUGAUAAGAUAUGGGGUCGUUUGAUGACAUUUCUAGAGGAAGAGAAGGCUACAGACAUCGACAUGUCUUCAUCUCCUGAAUCUCCUAACUACGUGCCUUACCCUUAUUGAUCCCGUAGUUGAAAGUGUCUAGGAGCAGGAGCACAGAUGCAAAAUACAUCCAUGAGCGGGAGUCACCAUGGAUGCAGGGGUCACUUGCAGGUGCCAGGUGGGAGCUUCUCGCCAGAUUUUGAAGUAUUUCGUCUCCUCGUUCAGGAAAAAAAAUUACCACAAAAAACUGAAAAAAUUACACCAGAAAACAGAAAAAUAAAUAAAUUACUCAUAAAAACAGAAAAAUUACAACAAAAAACAGAAAAAUAAAUAAAUUACUCAGAACAACAGAAAAAAAUACCACAAAAAAACAGAAAAAAACACCCAAAAAACAGAAAAAUAAAUAAAUUACUCAUAAAAACAGAAAAAUUACAACAAAAAACAGAAAAAUAAAUAAAUUACUCCGAAAAACAGAAAAAAAUACCACAAAAAACAGAAAAAUAAAUAAAUUACUCUGAAAAACAGAAAAAAAUACAGCAAAAAAACAGAAAAAUAAAUAAAUUACUCAGAACAACAGAAAAAAAAUACCACAAAAAAACAGAAAAAUAAAUAAAUUACUCUGAAAAACAGAAAAAAAUACAGCAAAAAAACAGAAAAAUAAAUAAAUUACUCAGAACAACAGAAAAAAAAUACCACAAAAAAACAGAAAAAAACACCCAAAAAACAGAAAAAUAAAUAAAUUACUCAGAACAACAGAAAAAUUACAACAAAAAACAGAAAAAUAAAUAAAUUACUCCGAAAAACAGAAAAAAUUACACCAAAAAAACAGAAAAAUAAAUAAAUUACUCCGAAAAACAGAAAAAAAUUACAAUAAAAAACAGGGCUUUUUUUUGUUUGUCAAGUGAAUGCAAUAUGCUUCUGUAGGUGUUAAUAAGAUGAUGCCUUAUUGUUCAUGUUUUAUUUCCUACCUUACUUGUUUUUAGAUGUUGUUCUUGGAUAUAAAAAAAGUACUUCCUAUUAGUAUCGAAAUAUCGAUUAAUCAAUGCAUAUAGAUUCUCAAUAACUGCCCAAAGAUGAAAUGACAUAUAUCAUGUUGCAGUGUCAACGUUCAUUUCAUUUUACAGGAAAGAGUUUGGAAAUGAUAAGUUCACAGACGCAAGAAAACAUGAACAUGAACAUGUAAACAGGACAAAACACAAGUGUAUUAAUUGCUCAUAAAGUAAAUAAAGGAAAAAAAUACAGGACUUCCUCAACCUCUUCUGUUCCCCUGUCCACUGGGUCACAAGUGGGUCACAACUCAGGAGCUGUGCUUUGCCCGAGGUGUGAUGAGGUGGUGAGAACACAACUGUAUUUCUUAUUUAUUUCUGAGAAUAAAACGAAUAAAAAAAGAUGUGCAGUAUGUGUGUAAUAUUCUAACAUCGAAAUCACUAUUAUCAAGCCACAGUUCCUUUUAUUGUUAAAGUCAGUGACACAAGUGGAACCUUUGACCCCGUGGUCUCAUUGGUCACCGACGUGGAGGACUCCAGCCAUGAAACCUUGCAGCCCGAGGAUGAGGUGCAGCCUACAUGGAGUUCGGAUCCUUUAAGGAGCAUGCUAACAUGUUUCCUAACCUGGCCGUGAUUGAAUGUUUUCACCAUCCAGUCAAAGAGACGUCUCCUCCGCUGGAUUUGGGAUUCAAGAACAGAGAACUAGCUAUUAUGUGACGCGGGACUUUUAUGAAAGGGUGGACCCGUGCAGGAGGCCCCAGUGCACGCUAUAUCAUCUCAUCAUAUGACACUGGAUAACAUCACUGCAUAUCUGUACGUGACAAAAAGAACCUCCGAAAAUAAGAAAUUAUUCAUUUUAAUUUAAAAUUUAUUUGUGGUUUAUUUGGAAUAAGCAUUUAAUUUUGUUAUAGAUGCUGUGAGCUGUUUCAAAUGAUAUUUUGCGUUCCUAAUUUAAUGAGAGUUCUUCUCUGAACACAGGCGUAUUUCUAAGGUGGCAGUCACACAUAAGGCCCCAUUCUGUGCCUGACACAUAGUCUGAGGGCCCACUGUCUCUAUGGGCCCCCUCACCACAUGGGCCCCAGUACAACCACUCUGCCUGCCCUGUCUAUAUUCGCUCCCCUGGCUCUCUCUUAUUGUUCAUAUUUCCUGCUCUCUGCCAACCAAGAAAAGAAAAGUCAUCGCUGUCAUUAUAGCCUUGUUAUUUUUUUAUCUUGUAAAAUAAAUUUCAAAUUGUUUCCCCUGAAUGUCAGUUUUCCCUCUGAUAUCAAACACGGUAUCGAAUAGUGAUAUUUUUCAAAGAAUUGUAUUGAAGUUGAAUUCCAGUAUCGUGACAACAUUAGUCCCUGUAUGAAAACUGUUAAUAGUGGAUCGUCCUGACUGAGUGGGAAACCGUUUCAGGAAAAACAUGUUGCUGAAUUUUACAUUCCUACAUGAAAUAUUUUGAUUUUCAAUGCUGUGAGCGCCACACAAAAAAAUCCCUUCUCUCCACUGUCCUAGGCAGAAGCAGAAAUCUUGAAAACUGAAGAUAUAAAACCAAACAUUAUCUGGAUGGCCAGAUAUCACCAGAGACAUGUCAGACAGUAUGUA